ensembl:lncRNA
GUUGCAUUUACUCACAAAUUGCAAUGCCUUUCAUGUAUGUCGUUAGCUGUAUUACUUUGCUCGUGCGUCAUGCAAACGAAUUGUAAAAUAUACAAUACUGUAGUUUUGUUAAUGUUUCUAGUGUAAUAUGCUUUGUUAUUCUACAUAGAUGGUUGUACAUUAUUAGAGUAAUGAAAGGAGCCAAUUACCAUAUGGUUAACAAUUAGCUAUAUGGUUUGGCAUCAUGCCAGAUGCAUGGUACCUUAGCGCGUGCUUUGUAUUUAUGCAACUUCAAAUGUUUAAUGUACAGCUACAGUAUGUCGGUGUGAAUUGAAUACUAAAGUAUAUUAUUUUCUGUAUUUUGCAGUUUCACAACAUAAACGCUUUCAAUAUAUUCAUUCAAGAAAAGUCACGCCUUGGGAGUUUUAUUGAAGACUUAGUUGUUAGCUAUCUGUCUAGUUUUGCAUGGGAACGCAACUCAAGGGCAGAAUAACUACAUUUUACGGAGAUUUGUUUUUGGAACGCUUUGAUAUCUCCACCUCAUCUAGCUAUACUGAAGGAAAGAACGGUUAGUACAGCAUGCCAAACUGAGUGUUCCUGUGCUGCGGUGGAGAAGAGGUCCACUGGGACCAUCACUAAAGAGCUCGUGGCCCAGCUAGAUUGCGCUCACGACCAUCAGUAUACACCCAAGUCCUGCCCCUAUCGGCCACAGAUGGAGCUGAGUGAGAUGAGUGAAGACCAGGACUCACUGUAUGAACCUGAGUGCUCAGAAUCACAAUCAUCACAGUGCGAGCCAAGAGAUACUUUCGAAGAGUGUGUUUGCAAGAUCCGAAAUACAUAGUCUUUGAUAGCAAGCUGAAGGAGUUGUUCAAUGUCGAGCAGGUGUCAUCAGUUCAUCCCUGAAAAUAUAUAUUGCAGUUUUGAAACUGCAGUAAAAGUGGAAUAACUGCAGUCAUAUAGCUGUGAGGUGUGAGGAAACGGCUGGUGACCAUCGGGAAGCCAGAGGUACUGUCAUAUAUUUUAUAGUAAAAUCAGAACUAUAUAAUUAUGAUGAUUCAAGUCAGUGACCCAGGUGUCUAAUUUAUUCCCUGCGUCUCAGGUACUGCCAUGGGUGAGGGCAUUAACGCACCACCUGUGGUACUGUGCCUCCACUGCUGGUGGGAGCGUCCAGGUGCUAAAAGAAAAGUACUUAUUUAUCUCUAGUUACAUGAAUUAGAUCUUUCAUUUUGUAGGUGAUGAAGUGUGUUCAGACAGUUGAACUCAAGCGUGUACAUGCCCUAUACACUAAAUAUGUGCCCAAGAGGAACAAGUUCAGCCAGCAGGGGAUGGCCGCAAGACUCCAAGUGGCUGACUUGGACCACAAUUAUUCAGUGGACAGACAGAAGGCUACAAGAAAGGAGAGAGUGCUCAGUUUCAAGCAAAAGUUCAAAAUUGCUGCCAGGUUGUUUGUGGUGAAACCCAUCAAGGAGAAGACAUGGUGUUCCCUGUCUGAGAUUCUACAUGGCAUUGUUGACCAAUGUGCCAAUGGUAACUGCUCAACAUAUGAUGUCAGAUGUAGACAUAUAGAGAGAGAAAUGACCUAAAAUGAUUUGUGUAACUUAUACCUGGCUCUAGGACCAGCAGACUCUCCUGAGUGCCCAAAGAGAGAGUGGCGGUCACUUUGGGGGAGCGGGCUGGUGUUUCCGAAAAUGGAGAGAAGGAGGCCAUUCAACAGUGAACUCAAAGAUAGACCCAUCCAUAGAGGGAAUCGGAGUGGAAUUGUUUUUUCACAGAUAUUUUUUACCCGUUUCAACAGAUGUGCUACCUUGUCCUGGACCUGCUGUUUUGACUCGCUCUCUCGGACCUGCUGCCUCGACCUAUGAAUGCUCAGCUAUGAAAAGCCAACGGACAUUUGCUCCUGAGGUGUCGAAGUGUUGCACCCUCUAUAACCACUGUGGUUAAUAUUUUGAUGUAAAAAGGGCUUUGUAAAAAUAAUUUGAUUGUUUGCUGUGCUGCGUGCUGUGUAUUCACUAACUGUCUGCGUGCUGUGUAUUCACUAACUGUCUGCGUGAUGUGUAUUCACUAACUGUCUGCGUGCUGUGUAUUCACUGUCUGCGUGCUGUGUAUUCACUAACUGUCUGCGUGAUGUGCCAUUUUUAUAGUAUCUGUAACAUAUUUUGGUGUGUACUUAAUCUGCAACAACUUCUUAAAGUGGCAAUCAGCAGUAGAAACGAUAACAAAGUGUCCUCCCCGCCCCUGUUUCGGUAAACAGCUGAGGGAUGGGGCUGGAGAAAUGGAACCACUCUCACAUUCAUAGACAGAGCUAUGGAUGCAAGGACUGACCAUGUUGAGGUUAUAUUGUGUUUCUUUCUAUUUUCUUUGUUUACAAACAUUGGGUAUUUUGGGUUUCGAUCUUGUAGGAAAGUUGAACUAUGCUCAUGAGGCAUUUAUAAGUUAGAUUCAAGAAUCAAUGGUUAGAUAUCAUUCAUUUAUAAGUGCUGCUGAUUGCCCCUUUAAGGUAAGCUACAGUUGUAGUGUCUAUUGAUCUUGUGCUUGAGACAAUUACAAGACUUUCCUGUGAAUCCUCUUGUUUCAUUGGAACCUUAAUAACCCUGUAAUUGACUAUGUAUUGUUGUAAUCCUGUUUCUAUGAUCUGUUUCUACUACCAUGUACCCAGUUUGCUUUGGAUAAAGGCAUAUGCUA